rnacentral:lncRNA from 1 species
CCGAGAUGUGGGAGCUGCUGGCCGCGGCGUGGGCAGUUCAGGGGCUGGGCGGCUGAGGGUGCAAAUAGCUAUGGGCAACUUGGCCUCGGCCAUAAGGAAGAUGUGCUGUUGCCCCAGCAACUGAAUGACUUCUGUAAACCCAGGAGUGUCAGGAGGAUCACAGGAGGAGGGGGCCACUCUGCAGUUGUCACAGAUGGAGGAGACCUCUUUGUUUGUGGCCUGAACAAAGAUGGGCAACUGGGGCUUGGUCACACAGAGGAUAUCCCAUAUUUUACCCCCUGCAAAUCCCUCUUUGGCUGUCCCAUCCAACAGGUGGCCUGUGGCUGGGAUUUUACGAUUAUGCUCACAGAAAAUGGUCAAGUUCUAUCAUGUGGAUCCAACUCCUUUGGCCAGUUAGGAGUUCCUCAUGGACCUCGAAGAUGUGUGGUUCCCCAGGCCAUUGAGCUCCAUAAAGAGAAGGUUGUUUGUAUUGCUGCUGGACUGAGGCAUGCAGUAGCUGCUACAGCGAGUGGCAUCGUGUUCCAGUGGGGGACUGGUUUGGCAUCAUGUGGACGACGGUUGUGCCCUGGGCAGACUCUUCCAUUGUUUUUCACAGCAAAGGAACCAAGCAGAGUGACAGGUCUAGAGAAUUCUAAAGCAAUGUGUGUUCUUGCUGGCUCAGACCACUCAGCUUCAUUAACAGAUGCAGGAGAGGUGUAUGUUUGGGGAAGCAACAAGCAUGGGCAACUGGCUAAUGAGGCUGCUUUCCUUCCUGUGCCCCAGAAAAUAGAAGCACAUUGUUUCCAGAAUGAAAAGGUCACUGCCAUCUGGAGUGGAUGGACACACCUGGUUGCUCAGACAGGUCUCUUGUGGCUCAGAGCAUAAUUUGGCAAUAAUUGGUGGAGUGUGUUACUCUUGGGGCUGGAAUGAGCAUGGCAUGUGCGGAGAUGGCACUGAAGCCAACGUCUGGGCCCCAAAGCCGGUGCAGGCUCUGCUGUCAUCGUCAGGACUCCUUGUGGGCUGUGGGGCUGGCCACUCCUUGGCCCUCUGCCAGCUGCCAGCUCACCCUGCAUUGGUCCAGGACCCCAAGGUCACCUACCUUUCCCCAGAUGCCAUCGAGGACACUGAAUCUCAGAAAGCCAUGGACAAAGAGAGAAACUGGAAGGAAAGACAAUCAGAAACUUCAACCCAAAGCCAAUCUGACUGGUCCAGAAAUGGGGGACUGUGAUAGAGAAUCUUUAAUAAAGUGGCUUUUCC